rnacentral:rRNA from 1 species
GGCCACAGCCAUAUCACCCUGCAGCCCAAAACCGGUUACUCACUGAAGCUAAGCAGGGCUGAGUCAGGUCAGUGUCUGGAUGGGAGACCACUAGGGAACACUAGGUUGCUGUUGGAA